rnacentral:rRNA from 1 species
CAUGUCUUUUUGUUAAUGAUUAAAAGUCUGACCUGCUCGAUGAGUAUUUAAAUUGCCGCAGUAUUUUGACUGUGCAAAGGUAGCAUAAUAAUUAGUUUCUUGAUUAGAAGCUUGAAUGAAUGGUUGGACAAGAAAAUUUCUGUCUCUAUUUUAUUUUUAUUGAAUUUUAUUUUUGAGUUAAAAAGCUUAAAUUUUUUUAAAAGACGAGAAGACCCUAUAGAGUUUUAUUAUUUUAUUAAAUUAAUUUUUAGUAAUUAAAUUUAUUAAAAUAAUUUGGUUGGGGUGAUUCGGAGAUUAAUCUAAUUUUCUGAUUAUUAAAUUGUUAAUUUUCAAAUUUAUAUUCUGUAAUUUCGAGUUUAAAUUAAAUUACCUUAGGGAUAACAGCGUAAUUUUUCUUUAAAGUUCUUAUUAAAAGAAGAGUUUGCGACCUCGAUGUUGGAUUAAAAUAAAUUUUUGGUGCAGUAACUUAAGGAUUAGGUCUGUUCGACCUUUAAAAUUUUACAUGAUCUGAGUUUAGACCGGCGUGAGCCAGGUUAGAUUCUAUCUUUAGGAUUAUUUAAUAUUUUAGUACGAGAGGACCAUUUAUUGAUUAAAUUAUUUG